rnacentral:tRNA from 2 species
CGGGGCGUAGCGCAGCCUGGUAGCGCACUUGGUUCGGGACCAAGGAGUCGGAGGUUCAAAUCCUCUCGCCCCGA